rnacentral:lncRNA from 1 species
GCUCUUACUGAAAAAUGUAGAAAAACAAGGUUGGUUUCAGAUCAUCUCAAUUGUGAAUAGUUUCAACUAUUAGUAGGAGGCAGUAAUUAAUUUUCUUAAGGCCAUACGCCACAUGAAAGUAAUUGAUUCACCUACAUGUAAGCAAACACUUUCACACCAGAGGCCUCACCCAGGUAGGCUGGUUAACCUGCCCCAAGGGGAGCAGUCUUUCCACCCCAGUGUACUACCACUGAACAGAGGAGGCAGAAAUCAGAUCUUCCCAACACAAAUCUUCACCAGAAAACAAAUUUAACCAGAUUUGAGUUUCGUUACUAAUAACAAAAAGUAAUGACCUAGGAAGAAGCAAACAUAAAAGAAUCAACAGGAGGAAAAUCUAGCUUCAUCUGAUGAAAUGUCUGCAAAGGUAGAC